rnacentral:rRNA from 1 species
UACGUAGGGGGCAAGCGUUGUCCGGAAUUAUUGGGCGUAAAGAGCGCGUAGGCGGUCCGAUAAGUCGGCUGUGAAAGUCAGGGGCUCAACCCUUGAAAGCCGGCCGAUACUGUCGGACUAGAGUCCGGAAGGGGCAAGUGGAAUUCCCGGUGUAGCGGUGAAAUGCGCAGAUAUCGGGAGGAACACCAAUGGCGAAGGCAGCUUGCUGGGACGGUACUGACGCUGAGGCGCGAAAGCGUGGGGAGCAAACAGG